rnacentral:rRNA from 1 species
AUUGAACGCUGGCGGCAUGCUUUACACAUGCAAGUCGAACGGUAACAGGCCUUCGGGUGCUGACGAGUGGCGAACGGGUGAGUAAUGCAUCGGAACGUGCCCAGAGUUGGGGGAUAACGCAGCGAAAGCUGUGCUAAUACCGCAUGUGAUCUGAGGAUGAAAGCGGGGGACCAGGCAGCAAUGUUUGGCCUCGCGCCUUUGGAGCGGCCGAUGUCAGAUUAGGUAGUUGGUGGGGUAAAGGCCUACCAAGCCGACGAUCUGUAGCUGGUCUGAGAGGACGACCAGCCACACUGGAACUGAGACACGGCCCAGACUCCUACGGGAGGCAGCAGUGGGGAAUUUUGGACAAUGGGCGCAAGCCUGAUCCAGCAAUGCCGCGUGAGGGAAGAAGGCCUUCGGGUUGUAAAACGCUUUUGUACGGAACGAAAAGGCUCUGGCUAAUACCUGGGGCUGAUGACGGUACCGUAAGAAUAAGCACCGGCUAACUACGUG